rnacentral:rRNA from 1 species
CCUGAGAGACGGCUACCACAUCUAAGGAAGGCAGCAGCCGCGCAAAUUACCCAAUCCUGACACAGGGAGGUAGUGACAAGAAAUAACAAUACAGGGCGAAUGUCUUGUAAUUGGAAUGAUGGUGACCCAAACCCUCACCAGAGUAGCAAUUGGAGAGCAAGUCUGGUGCCAGCAGCCGCGGUAAUUCCAGCUCCAAUAGCGUAUACCAAACUUGUUGCAGUUAAAAAGCUCGUAGUUGUAUCUUUGCGUUAGCGGUUUGACCAUUUGGUUGGUUAUUUCG